ensembl:lncRNA
CCUCUGUCUUGAACUAUUCUUUCUCUAAAAAAUCUGUUUGGCUCUCUCCUUUCCUUCUGGGUUCAACUCAAACACCACCCCAUCAGAGAGCCUCUCAAGACCACCUGAUAUAAAUGAAAUACAACUUACAGAAUAAGAAGAAACAAUCAAAUCAAGUCUAAUAGAAAAUAACCCACUGCCUUCCAAAAUUCUUGAAGUAAUUUUUUCUGAGUCAGAGAUUAUGUUCUGCUACUACCUGGAUAAGAAAACACCGAACAAAUUCAGCACCUACAGGACCACUCAGUGUGAUGGUCAUAACUAAUGUGACACCUGAGUUGAAUCCAUCCCGACUCCACAUAUACCCUGGAGCUUGCUGUCAUGGACAGAGGCAAGAGAUUUCUCAUUCUUCCCUUCUGUGUGCAGAACAUGUGGCUCCAGGACUCACCAUUUUAAAUCAGUGAGGGAAUCACAUGCAGCCAAAGCCCUUCCCAUAUUUGUCCUCUUGCUCUAAAUCAAAAGCAUUGCCUUUACCUUCUGAUUUUUUUAGCAGCAAAUAAAACAUUUUAACAUUAGAAACCAC